GGACUACUGGGGUUUCUAAUCCUGUUUGAUCCCCACGCUUUCGGGUCUCAGUGUCAAUGUUGGGCCAGAUCGCCGCCUUCGCCACCGGUGUUCCUCCAGAUAUCUACGUAUUUCACCACUACACCUGGAAUUCCACGAUCCUCUCCCACAUUCAAGAUCUGCAGUAUCAAAAGCACUUCCCAAGUUGAGCUCGGGGCUUUCACUUCUGACUUAUAGAUCCACCUACACCCGCUUUACGCCCAAUAAUUCCGAACAACGCUUGGACCCCUCGUCUUACCGCGGCUGCUGGCAC
rnacentral:rRNA from 1 species